rnacentral:rRNA from 1 species
GACGAACGCUGGCGGCGUGCUUAACACAUGCAAGUCGAACGAAGAGCGACGGAAGCUUGCUUCUAUCAAUCUUAGUGGCGAACGGGUGAGUAACGCGUAAUCAACCUGCCCUUCAGAGGGGGACAACAGUUGGAAACGACUGCUAAUACCGCAUACGAUCUAAUCUCGGCAUCGAGGAUAGAUGAAAGGUGGCCUCUACAUGUAAGCUAUCACUGAAGGAGGGGAUUGCGUCUGAUUAGCUAGUUGGAGGGGUAACGGCCCACCAAGGCGAUGAUCAGUAGCCGGUCUGAGAGGAUGAACGGUCACAUUGGGACUGAGACACGGCCCAGACUCCUACGGGAGGCAGCAGUGGGGAAUCUUCCGCAAUGGACGAAAGUCUGACGGAGCAACGCCGCGUGAGUGAUGACGGCCUUCGGGUUGUAAAGCUCUGUUAAUCGGGACGAAAGGCCUUCUUGCGAA